rnacentral:rRNA from 1 species
AUUGAACGCUGGCGGCAUGCCUUACACAUGCAAGUCGAACGGUAACAGGUCUUCGGAUGCUGACGAGUGGCGUACGGGUGAGUAAUACAUCGGAACGUGCCCAGUCGUGGGGGAUAACUACUCGAAAGAGUAGCUAAUACCGCAUACGAUCUGAGGAUGAAAGCGGGGGACCUUCGGGCCUCGCGCGAUUGGAGCGGCCGAUGGCAGAUUAGGUAGUUGGUGGGAUAAAAGCUUACCAAGCCGACGAUCUGUAGCUGGUCUGAGAGGACGACCAGCCACACUGGGACUGAGACCCGGCCCAGACUCCUACGGGAGGCAGCAGUGGGGAAUUUUGGACAAUGGGCGAAAGCCUGAUCCAGCAAUGCCGCGUGCAGGAUGAAGGCCUUCGGGUUGUAAACUGCUUUUGUACGGAACGAAAAAGCUUCUCCUAAUACGAGAGGCCCAUGACGGUACCGUAAGAAUAAGCACCGGCUAACUACGUGCCAGCCGCCGCCGUAACAC